rnacentral:lncRNA from 1 species
UCAUUAACAUCAGAAUCCUUCCUGGUCUCCGGCCGACUGCCCAUCGCGGGGGUCAAAGGCAGCGAGCACGACUCUUUGAAUCCAAGCAGCCAGCCGCAUUUUUUGUCGCUGUUUUCCCCUACAAAAGCUCACCUUUCCGUUUUGUUUUGUUUUGUUUAUCACUCUCCGGGCGCCCGCGCUGCUUUAGGUCCCGGCUGCGCUCUCCAUCCUCCCUCCCAACCCCGAGCCGUUCCCCGAGGAGCCGGGGGGCAGCGAGACCACGGCGGGGCCGUGCCCGGAGCUCGGACCCAAACCCAGAGCCGGACCCAAACCCAGAGCCGGACCCGGACCCCGCGGCCAUCCCGCGGCGCCCCGCGCUCGGUCCCGCUCCGCACCCGCGCAGGGCAGCGGCGGGGCAGCCGGGCAUCCCCCCGAUCCCCCCACCUGGCCGCCGCGCCUGCCCACCCGCGGAGACCCCCCGCGCGAUUCCGGGGGAUCCCCGGUCCCUCGGGUCCCGUCCCCACAGCAAAGGGGGUCCGAGAGGGGCGCGGGGGCAGCGCCCUGGUACUCACCGCGGCGGCCACGGUGUCGAGCUCUGCGCUGAGCAGCAGCCCGAAGCCCAGCCACAGCCACAUGCUGCCGCGCACCGUGCCGGCGGCUGGGCGUGGGGGCUCCGCGGGGCCGGCCCCACAGCCGUGCUUCUCCCCUCCGUGGCGGCCGCGGCUGCCUUCAGGGCGAGGGACUCGCCUCGCCGUAACCGAUGGGCGGCGGCAGCCCCCUCUCCUCCCCCGGGCGGAGACCCUGGGAGCGCGCAACCUCGCCCGCUCCCCGCGGUUCCUCCUCCUCCUCCUCCUCCUCCUUCUCCUCCUCCUCUGCCGGCCAUGGGUGGGUGGGUGCGGGCGGCGGGGGGGUAGAGGCGUCGCUUCCUCAUCCCGUACCGUCGCGGCCGCCCGGGAGGUCGCGGAGAGGAGCGGAGCGGGGCAGGGGCCGGGCCGGGCAGGGCGGCUGCGAGCCCCCCCCCAGCAGCGCCUCGCCGAGCUCCGGAGGGUGCCAGGAGCGGGCUCGGCUCGGCUCGGCUCGCAGGGGACGGCCCGGCGACGAGAGGAAGCCGUGAGCGGAGCC